GCGGGUCUGCCGACUUGCGGAUCCCCUCGGGACGGGGACGCCCUCCCGCAGUUACUGCCCUGGGAUUGCGUGUACGUUGGCUGCUCAGGCAACGCGUGGGUCCUGUGUCACUCCCAGAAAUAGAAAUUACAGAAGAGAAUGAACUGGAAUUUGGAACUAAAUUUUGUCACUUUACAUGAGCUAUCCCAUAGAAGUAAAAAGUUAAGUUAAAAAGUGAUUAAGCCUUGAAUGUCCUAUGAGCUACAAUUUCUGGCACUGAAGCACUACCUGUGGAAUGUUGUUUCACAUAUCUUGGAACUGAAAUACCAAGUGGCCAGUUCAUGAUCUAAAGAUUGCUGAAAUUGUGUUCCAGUGGAUUAUACACAUCAUUCAGAAAUAAAACCUCGAAGACAACUAAGAGAAAAGUUCUGACAUGCCAAAUCAUUUUGUUUUGAGACUUACAGGCAAAAUAUAUUGAUAUUUUAUUUUGAA